rnacentral:rRNA from 1 species
AGCAGUCGCCACGGGAAUACGAAGGGGGCUAGCGUUGUUCGGAAUUACUGGGCGUAAAGGGCGCGUAGGCGGCCAUUCAAGUUAGAUGUGAAAGCCCUGGGCUCAACCUAGGAAUUGCAUUUGAUACUGUUUGGCUUGAGUUCGGGAGAGGUGAGUGGAAUUCCCAGUGUAGAGGUGAAAUUCGUAGAUAUUGGGAAGAACACCAGUGGCGAAGGCGGCUCACUGGACCGACACUGACGCUGAGGCGCGAAAGCGUGGGGAGCAAACAGGAUUAGAUACCCCCGUAGUCCCUGUCUCUUAUAC